AUAAGCCCCCAGAAAAUGUUUUCAGGGUAGGAGACCCUAGAAAGUACUCAGACUUGCUGUAUUUACCAGGAUUUGAGAGGGUAAAUCCAGAGACAGGUGGUAGUAAAUGAAGGCCUUCACCAGGGGAAGCUCCUGAUUGCUUUUGCCCCAUAAAAUGCCAGCAGCUGCUCCCUCCUUGCUCCUUGCAGACUGAGGGGGUGACAAGUUCCCCUGUGGAUGCUUUGAAGUGGAGAAGGAGAUUAAUCAGAAAAAUUCAACUAGCUGCUGUGCUGCUUGGUUUGGAGCAGCCUUGUUGGGAAAGGAUAUUACAUUGGCCUGAUACCCUGAGCUAUUUGCACUGAUAUCCCCACGGAGGAGAAGAGCUGGCUGGGAGAAGAAAAUGAACAGUUCUAUUUAUGCAGCAAGUAAAUGAUUGUGGAGCAAGUGCUGGUUGCAUGCUGCUCCCAACACCGGUGCCCAGUGCUAUGGAGGGAUGGAGAGCUGCAUCGCCCUCUUGGACAGAAUUAGUUGGUGGUGAGGAAGAAGAGAUAGGGGAGUGAGGAAGAGACCACGAUGGAGACUGCCUGGUGCCUCUUGCAGUGGCUGCUGUGAGCUAGGAGCUCCCAUCUUCCCUUAGCAAACGUCCCUGUGCUGGGUCUGGAGUCUUUCAAGUCUGGAUACAAGGAUGAUGGUGUGCACUUGGCCUGGUUUCUGUAAAAAUUCAUUCUGAAAAGAAGGGGUUUAUAUAUAUAUAUAUAUAUACCCUCCCAUCUCUCUUGCAGUUACCCAAAUGUACCUUCUCAGCACAGAUAAUUAAAAAUGAACACACAUCCCCAAGGAGAGAGCUAUUCUGAAAGCACCUCAGGUGUGACCAAGCAUGCUCGUUUCUGUGUUUUACCCUUUGAGAGCUUCACAAAUCAAAGAGAAUCAUUUUCAGACAGUGAUGAAUCGCUUAUACUCCCAUUUGUUUGCCUGAAGUCUUCCUUUAAGAGAAUGUGAACAUUUUUUUGCUGGCUGUGAACGUGUGGGGGAGAUGCUUCAGUCUUCCCGAGGUGUGAAGAGCAAGCACAGCACUGUGAUGCUGCAAGGGGGGCGCAUCCCUCCCGGGCUGUCUGUGACAGGGACACUUGGUGCUCUCCCAACCCUGUGCUCAGCUUCAUCUAAACAAUUCAUCCCAGCUCAGCUCUGUCCCCCUUGAUUUAUAAAACCCCCUCUGCUUUGCCCCUGAUCUGUAUCUGACAUGUCUCCCUGGCUCUGCCUUCCCUGGGGUGAUGGCUGGCACUCCAGUCCCUCGCUGGGGACAUGCAGGGUAAUUCAUCGCUGGUGGCAGGGAGGUGGAGGGGUUUUCAUAACUGCGUGCACAUGAUCUGCUUUUUACACGGGUCUAAAUCUGGAUCGAUGAUCCGCCCUGUCCUCUGAAGUGCCGUAUCACAGCUAUGACAUCUCGGAGCUGCCUUCGGUGUAUCACUACAAACAGACUCACCAGGGCGCUUCCACAGCUCCCAUCCCUCCUAACAAUGCAUCAUUUAGGGAAAUUAAAUCUGAAGUGCAUAUGUGACCGUCCUUCUGAUGGUCACCAGGGGCUUUGCUGGAAUAAAUAAAGUUCUCUUCUGGUCUGGCUGGCCGGAGAGUUGCCUUUGCUCAGAUCUUUCUGGCAGGGCUUAUCAUUUAUCUGGGUCCAGGUUAUGAAGUGAAGGAUCCGUGCCACGAUGCCAUUUGUUGCUGACAGCUGAAAUCCUGGCUCCUCUUGAUUGUGCCUGCCUUGCUGCUGGUGACAAGUAGGAAUUUUCUACUCCCUUUGCCACGUGUGUGAGCAGGAGAAAGGCUUCCUGAUCAAGGCUCACCCAGGGCUUCUCCUCCGGCAGAGCCAUCCCAGCUGUGCCUCGUUUUUAGAGGCAGAGUAACGGGAGCAGGAGCAAGCUGGGAGGAGAGCUCUGCUCUGGCCCUGCAGCAGAAGAUGCUCCUCCUGCUCUGGUCAAGGUCUGCUCUGCCCUGGCUCCUAUUGUGUGGAUGAAAAAUGACCAGGGAGGACAGAACAAGGGAGCAGCAAGUGUCUGUGGACAAACAAUUCUUGACCUGCAGUUUGACACGCAUCCAGCCGAACUCCAGCGCCUGAUCUCUCUAGCUCCAGAGACUCCUGCUCUCCUUCUCCUAUUAAAAAUAGCACUCUCAUAGCAAGCUUUUGCUUCUCACCCACCUAUUGAGCUCCCAGGGUCACCCGAGCCCUAAUUAACCGAGCCCCCAUAGCACAGCCCAUCUCCUGCUCUCCCCGGCUUUGGCAACCGGAGCACACUGCUGCUGCUCGCCUCAGGUCUCUCCCGAAGCCCUAAGGCGUUUUGAUGUUUAUUGUUCGCUGAUUUUCAUCCACGGUGGUGGCCGAGGAGCUUCAUCUGGUGCUUGGAUUAAAGAAAACUUCGGCAUGAAUCUACCAGCACGUCAGAUGGCAUGGAGCUCCUCAUGGCUCUUGUACCCCACCAAAGAAUGAAAUCAUCCCCCGUGUCGGUGCACGUGUGUCCGUGCAGAUAUCCGUGCCUGCAGAUCGCUCUGCAACCAUGGUUACAGUCUUUUGGGGGCGAGGAUGGCUGGGGCAGGCUGUAGGGUUGGCUCUGUGCUUCAAAACACAAAGGGGAACCUGCCAGGGGUGGCCCUGUCCUGCUGGGAAGCUGGUGCUGAGGGCACGGGGCAGCUGCAGGGAUCAUUUUGCACGGAGGGCGAAGCCAACACCAUGUGGAGCAGCAAGGGCUGGGCCACCGGGUGAUUCACCACGGGGACGGUGGUGCUGAGCCAGGUCGAUAAGGAAGCCCGGCUUCCAAAUGGAAUUAAAUAAUUAUUCUCACUUUCUUUGACUUCGGGAGGAUCCUAUUAAAGAAAAGAGCCUGGAUUACCGGCUGGCUGACAUUUUCCUCUGAGCCUGUCUCCAGAUUGGAUUUAGCUCUUUUAUCUCCUAAUCCCCAGAGCUUUUUAAUGUAGAAAGUAAUGGCAUCCAAAGGCAAAUUUAAUUUUGACAAGUAAUCUGACUUCCUUUCCUUUUCUGGAGUCGGGUUUUAAUCCUGUUUGCUGUCUGAAGCUGCAUUAUGUGGAUGUAUUUAAAAUCCUUACUACUCUAAAAUCUUCCGUAGAGGGAAAAAUAUAAAGUGAAACUUUGCCAGCCUGGAAGCGAGGACUAGUUUUUUUAUCAAACACGUCAAAACAUCUCCUGCUUACAGCUGCUGGAAUUUUUAAGCCCUGCAUUACGCUGAACUUUGCUCUGCACUUCUGGGAAGAGCACAUCAGCAAAUACAGGUUUUUUGGUAAAAAAACGAAUUCAGUGCCUGGCCCUGCUCCCACUGAAAUGUGGGGCUGAGCUGCCCGAGGAUGGUGGUAGCAGAGGAGCAGGUUGUCAGCAGCUUGGUUGGGGAAAGUUUCCUUCCUGUUGCUCCAUUGCAGGUGUUGGGAUUGCUCAUAUGGUGAAGAUUUUGGGUCUCAUCCAGACAUGUUGUUCCUGUCUGGUAGGUUGGGUCCAGAGCAGGGGAGCCCUCCGGGUGAUGUCCCUCUGCCACCGGUGUGCUCCAGGGCUGAGGAUGCUCCCUGCCGGGCAUCUGGAGCAGCAUUUGGCAUCAAAUGUUGCAAAAACCCCUGAAACUAAAUCACAGACAAGGGGUGCGAUAAUGGAGCUCCAAAGCUACUCAUCUCAGCAGAGAAAAUAGAAAAUCACAUUGUUAUUAUGUUUCUCCAGCUCUUUUGGUCCCACACAGCCACAUCUAGGUGAAGAUCAAUGCCUGAUCGUUGGCUAUUUCCGACAGCAACAUCACACCCCGUGCCACUGCCCUGCUCCGAGCAUACGGUUUCCCUGAAAAUAUCAACUGCAAAUAGGGUCUUCUCCUCCUGAGAAAAUCAGUAGUUAUUGACUGGGGACUGUUUUCACUAAAGGCCGUAACACACAGAACGUCCCCGUCGCUCCGCAGCCCCGCAGCUGAUGGUUCAUUAUGCCAGCACGUAAACACCCGGCUCCUGCGGGUGCAAAACGUGCAGCUCGAGGCAUUGAUGGAAUCUCGCUAUUAAAUAAAAAAAUGAGCGUCUGUCUCGUUCUAGCCUGGUUAAAAAAAAAAAACUCAGCAGAAGAAGGGAUUAUGUAUAAAUACAUCUAUUUGCAAAUGUCAGCUUUGAAAUAGGGAGGAAAACGUGCAGCAGGGCUGUGGGCCAGCGGAGGUGGAAAUGGAUUGGGUUUCACGGGGGCUGCCAAGUGAAACAAGUGGGGGCUCUGCUCUGGGUGCAGGCGUGAUGGAGGCAAUCAGGGGAGCACAACCCAUGGCUCUUGUGCUGAUGGCUUCUCUGCAGAAAUUUGGCAUGUGAGCAGUGUUAAGUAAUCAAGGGGCAAAGUGGUGAAACCAAUUUCUUUUGCAGUUCCUGUGUUUUCUUUCCCCCUCCUUCCCAAGACACUGAUUCACCUCGCUUGGGAGCUGUUGGGGGAAAGGGAUCCAGGGAUGCAGCAGCAGCCUGGCUUGGUCAGGAACUAGGGCAAAACACAUGGGAAGGGUUUUUAUUUGCAGCUGCUUUUCCCUGCCUGGCUCUGAGCUGUCUGGAGUAAGCAGCAUUUUCCCAACCCCUUUUUUGACUAUGAGCAGCCACACCUUGGCCAUACCUCCACCCACAUCCCUGCCUGAUCAUCGACACACACCCCAUAACCCUGGCACAGCCAUAAACUGGAGGAUCAUCAUCUUUGUAGCUGGCUGGAAGGGGGUGCUGAGGGAUGUCCUGCUUUGAAGCCCUCCCUGCUGCACUACGAGGUUCUGAACCUUCAUGUCAAUAAUUAUGAUGCGCUCGGGAAAUGCAUCUUUCCAGGAAAUAAAGAUCAGCUCAGCCCAAGCACCACCAGGGUGUUUCAGGCCAGACUGGGGAAGGCUGCAGAUCAAUGCACAGGUGAUGUCUCUCUAGCAGGUGUUUUGUUACCAAUAAGCCAGGUUUGUGCCUUGGGAUGAUUCACGGCCACACCUGAAUACCUUUUAUCAGCAGUGGCCCCAACCCACAUCUUUUUGACCCCAUUUUUUCCAAAGUUUUUUGAGUAUAUUUGAGUUCAGCCAACCCAGACCCAUAACCAAACAGUCUCCCAGCGUGAUGUGUUCAUUUACCAGUGCCUUCAUUAGGCUGUGUCCACAGCCUGGAGGGAAGUGAGGAUGUCAGGUUCUGCAGGAGGGAUGCAGCUGAUGAUGGUGUUGUUAUGAACUACUUUUUUUUAUCACACCUGAUUUGUCACAUCAAAACUCAAAGCUCCCAAAACACCAUUGCCAACAGUAACGCAAUCCGAACUGUAUGCAGGAAUAUUAUGAUGGAUUUGUGAAGGUGACUUAGGAGAGUGGUAACUAAAAUAACAAUUCUGCCUUGUAGCAUCCCGGUUUGUAUUCUCAGGAAAGGGAGCGGAGAGGAUUUAAGCUAUAUUAAGAUUUCAGCACAUCUGCAGCAAGUGAAGAAGCGCUUCCACCAGAAAUGUGAAUGUCAAUCUUGCCGAGGGAAAACACAGAGGAAAUAAAGUCUCCUUGAUAAAAUGGAUAGGAAAUAUAAACUAUUUACAAGUGUCAUGAGCAGCCUCUUAGGCAAAAACAGAGUGCCAGCCCCACGCUCCCCAUCCAUCCAGCAGCUGUUUACUAUGGGGUGUGUGUGUUUGUGGAUGUUUCCUGGUCCAGGUUUACACCGUGGGUCUGGCUGCAAUACUUUGUGCCACCCAGCUGGCAAACAGCAUCCUAUUCUUCCAAAUAUCCUUCCAAAAUAUCCUAUCCAGUGGCAAACCCAUCCUGCCCGUCUGCAUUGCAGGACUCUGGUGAGGCUCUGAGGUUGGAGAGGAUGCUGGCUUUAGGGACAGUCGGAGAUGGAAGGGAGGCAGCCAGAAAAAAAAUACGAUUGCAGCCAAGCCAUAUGUCUGUUUUCCCACUUCCCCCCUGUCUUUCUCUUUAAUAUUAAAGUAAUAACAGUGUGUUAUGCAGAAGUGAGAGAUGCUUCUCGGGACUGGGCUUUUUCCAUGUGCAGACCAAAGGGUGAUGGGCAAAGCAGAAAUGUUGUGGUGUGUCUGGGAGCCAGCGACAGGCAUCCAACCUCUGCAUCCCAGCCUUGCAGGGAGAGCCUCAAAAGGAAGGCUCGCAUCCUGCCUCCCCCUGCCUUGUUAUUAAUAACCAAAAUUUGCAUUCAUAUUAGCCUUCUGUAAAACCCUUCUAAGGACAUGCUGAAGUCGGGCUUUACAAAUUUCUGCAGGAUCCCUUGAGAGCAGCAAAAGCCGUUGAAGAAGCAAUAUUUGGAUGGGAAACUUAUGUCCUCCAAGCUGGCAAGUUGUAACACCGACACAGCUCGUUCCUGUAGCUGCAAAGCUCUGCCUGCAAAAGGUGCAGAGCCCCUCCUGCCUUCCCCUCCUCCCCCCCUCGUUAUUUAACAACUGGCCGUGAUUUACACAGCUCAUUAAUGCAGCGGUAACACCGACACAGGCGUUCCCAAAUAAACCAGAAGGUUUAUACUUGACCCGGGCCCUCUGCUCGCUGCAGCUGCCCCAGAGGAUUUGAAGAACAGUGAUUUGAAGUGAUUGCAUCGGGUAAGGACGUUACACAAUGCAAAUACAAGUGGAUGCCAGCAUUUAAUUUUUAAAAACCGCUGCUAUGGGAGAGCCUUUGAGGCAGGGACAGCACCAGCCCAGCUCACUUCACAGCCUCUGCCUCACCCCUGCGGACAGGAAAGCAAAGAGGGACCAGUUUCAAACCAGAAAGGUUUUUUCAGGUGGCCUGGAUGGGUUUGCUCCAAACUGUCCCCUUCCCCUUUACCCCCUUGGGGUGUUGCCAUCCCAAAUGGGGGCAGUGACAAUGUGGGGUGUCCCUGUGCUGCUCACCCCCGGGCAUCACAGACAAGUCCUCGGUGUGCUCCCAGCCAGCUUUCCAGCAGCAAACACAUAAGGAUCAGGGGCAAAUGGUAACGGUGAUUAUUGGUCGCCCUUGGGUGAGGUUUUUAUUGCUCUAUUUUGGGUAUUGCAGAGUGAGGGGAAUAAAAGGAGAGGGUUUAAGCUGACGAUUACACACUAAAUGGCAGUGUUCCUGCUAAUGUGCUGAGUGCCUACAAAGAGCUGCUGGUCAAACACCCAUAAAGGUUUGCUCUGCUGAUGUAUAUAACCUCCUGCCUUCUGCAAAUGGCUUAACUCCAUCGGCUCCUUGCUCGUUCCCAGGCAGGUGCUGAAAUCCCAGGAGCUGGAGCACGGAGGGCACAAGCCCAGGAGGGUCCCCUGGGGACAAGGCAAGUCCCUGAGGUCCCCUCCUGCUACCGGGACCACCAGGCUCAGAGGUGACCCAUGGUGAAAGGAAGCCUGUGAGAACAACUCCGGCAGGAGGCAAGCUUGCUGAACACACCAGGGAACAAGGCAGUGAGACUGCUCCUGAAUUCUCAGGUGACAAAAAUCCCCCGGGGUCCCCUCCGGAUGUCUGUGAGAAAAUCUUUCCCUCUGCAAAGAGGCUUCCAAAGGCAACAGGAUGGGGACAGAUCCUCCCGGGACCACAAACAGGUCUGAUUCCAGGGAUGCAGAUUUCAUCCUUGCCUUUGCCACCCCAGAUGAGAUCUGGACCCCAGCAGGAGUGAACCCCCCAAAAGCCAGCACCCCUUUCUGCCCGUCUGACGGCCGCCCCCACUAACGGAUCCUUCCUACACCUGCCAAGGCCUUCUGUGCUCCACGCAGCUCUGCCCAUCUGAACGCCUUCCAAGUAUUUACAUACAAAAGGAAUUAUUGCAGUUCCUCUUUCUGGCUCCCCGGGCUACAGGAACCAUCUCUGGCUGGGUUGGCAGGCGGCAGCGCUUCCUGGGGAAGCAGGCAAAGCAGCCCCGAUGCCUCUGUGCCAGCAACACCCCCGGGAUCUCUGGCACCAUCCAAGGUGGAGAGGAAGAGAGAUUUUAAGGAUAUUUCAUUGGGAUUGCAAAAAAUAACAAAAAUGGGUUAGGUAGAGAAAGACCCAAGUUAAAGCCCCCAGGCUCGCUCCUUUGCUCCCAGUAUGAAGGGACUGGUUGGAGCCUGGGAUGGUGAAAGGCUUCUCUGACCCAAUGUCUGUGCAAGGAGCUGAGACAGAGAGAUGUCCCCGCUUCCCCCUGCAACUAUCCAAGCUGUCAGCAGUCCUGGGAGGACACUAACAGGAGGAGAAAAGCAGAUCCUGGUGGGUCCCCAUGGGGAGCAAGCCUGGGGAGCUCAGGGAUUGUCUGCAGCAGCUUUUGGCUCGGGCUGGAAGGAAGCACUGAAGGUUUUGUGAAGGUUCAGAGCAAAGUGAGGACAUGGAAGCUCUUCUCAAAAUGCCCCUGUGGACCUAUUAAUCGCAAUAUUGGAUCUUUUGUCUUUUCUAGCAGGUUCCUAGCAAUAAGCACGCAGCCAGCUUGGCUGAGGGUUUGUUUAUUUUCCAGCUAAUGGAGCAGCAGGAUCAAUUCCAGCUAACAAAUCCUGGAAUAUCAGAAAAAUGAUGUGCAAUUCCCUUGGAGAACUUGUGGCGUCCACCUUGUAGGUGGUUAUUAGCAGCAGCAGGAUUAAUGCAGUGAUAUGGCAGAGGGCUAGGGACGCCUCGCAGAAAUGGACACAAAUCACAGAAAGCCCGUCACUGGCAAAGCAAGAGGAGCAUGUUUGCCCUGUUGAUUAUUACCAGCCACUGACUAGACGGGGAAAAUUGUGCUUGGAAACAAGGCAGUGCACAUAAAAACCCAGCCACAAACACUCCCUGCAGUAACUCUUCCCGCAGGACUCUGAGUGGUGCCUGAAUGGUGCUCAUCUGGCAUCGCGCUGCAAAUGAGUUCAAAACGCGACCGUCCAACCCGAGCAACCAGCACUUGUUACCAACCCCAUUACGCUCUAAGUGGCACUUUAGCUUUGCUCCUUGCUCAUCCACGCUGGGUCUGGGUUAUUUAACACAUGGGCUGUGUUGCACGUGGUCCAGCUGGAGCACAAACUGCCAGAAACCUGCGCACCCUUCCCGCUGCCUCUGCCAGUUUUCCCUCACCUCCACCACGACGGACUCGCCAGGAGAAUUACGGAUGUCGAAUUUCUGGUGACUCUCUGUUGGUCGCAUCUUUUUGGCCCCACGUACACAUGAGCCAACAGCCAGUGCUGGUUCGGGGCUGCCCAGCACACCCCACGCUGGGCUCUGGACCCUGUGGGUUUGCGGUUUGGGGUUGUAGGGCAGGACCCCAGGCAGCCCACCGCAGCCUCCUGCUGGGUACCUGCAGCCCCCCAUGCCCAGCCCCAGGGGCAGCACAGUCCCCUCUGCCUGCAGCUUGCUGCCCCAGAGGUGGGCUGCAUCUCCCAGGGGAGGAAAGGCACAAAAUCAGGAAAAGGAGAGGGAGGGAGCAGGCCGAGAACAAGCAAAAAAUAUUGAUAUAAAAUUCAUGGAGUUUGUGUUUUCCAGCACCUCGUCUGGGCUUUCAGCAGCUUUCCGUGUUCCCUGUGAGCAGGUCACUGCCUGCCGUGCACAAACUCUUCCCUUUUAUCUUUUUGCCUUCUCCCUUAUUUUUAAAUAUGCAAAUACAUCAGAGGAGCAUUUCAAACUCCUGACUACGCACAGAUCUGAAGGGCCUUUGAGCUCCUGAAGGCCUGGCUCCAAAAAACACAGGGAUGCUGUGCGCUCCCUCGGCUGCAUCCCCCCCUCCAAACCCUGCGUCCCUGCAGCUCCUGCCCCCCACUUGGCUCCAUCUCAGGCAGGGAUUUGCAGGAGGAAGGCACCGGGCUGAGGGUGUAGAGGGAAUGCAAGGCUUUAACUUGAAAACACGGAGCGUGAGUCAUAAUUCUCGAGAAACGGAACAAAAAAAGGAGGAAAAAAAAAAAAAAAAGAUGUGCCAGCUGGGAGGCAUGGUGGUUUUGAAAAUCUCUGAUUGGCUCUGAUUGAAGUAUUUAGCUGCAGCAGGUCUGCUAGAAAAACCUGAAUGAAGGCAAAGAGGUCCUUAUUCAGCCGAACACACCCGGCUCUGUGUAAUACAGAGGGACAAAUCCAAGAAAGAAAAGGCCAGACAAACUCUGAAAUUACAAGUGAUUCCUCUGGGAGCAGCCAGUGUUGCAUUUUCUCUCUGCAUCCAACACCAUGGCCAAUAUUUUUUGAUUUACCCCAAUGCUAAUUAUAUUCUCUCUUGGGACAGCUUGGGCUGGCACCAGGUAUCCCUGAGCCCUGCUGGGCUUUGUGUGCCCCGUCUCUUCCCCAACAGCAGGCACCUCGUCAGGCUUCAAAUAGAGUCAUUCUUCAUUGCACUCUGCUUGUUUGCCACUGGGAACUUGCAAAAUGCUAAGUACCCAGGAGGAGCUUUCAGUUCUGACCCGAUCCCCGGGCUGACCCACAG